rnacentral:rRNA from 1 species
UACGUAGGGUGCAAGCGUUAAUCGGAAUUACUGGGCGUAAAGCGUGCGCAGGCGGUUCUAUAAGACAGAUGUGAAAGCCCCGGGCUUAACCUGGGAACUGCGUUUGAAACUGGGAGACUUGAGUGUGGCAGAGGGGGGUGGAAUUCCACGUGUAGCAGUGAAAUGCGUAGAUAUGUGGAGGAACACCAAUGGCGAAGGCAGCCCCCUGGGUCAACACUGACGCUCAUGCACGAAAGCGUGGGGAGCAAACAGG